rnacentral:rRNA from 15 species
UUGACCUCGGAUCAGGUAGGGAUACCCGCUGAACUUAAGCAUAUCAAUAAGCGGAGGAAAA